rnacentral:tRNA from 1 species
GCUCCGUUAGCUCAAUGGUAGAGCAUUCGGCUGUUAACCGAAAGGUUCUAGGUUCGAGUCCUAGACGGAGCGCCA